rnacentral:rRNA from 1 species
UUGUUCGGAGAGUUUGAUCCUGGCUCAGGACGAACGCUGGCGGCGUGCUUAACACAUGCAAGUCGAACGCUGAAGACCUGGCUUUUGUUGGGUUGGAUGAGUGGCGAACGGGUGAGUAACACGUGAGUAACCUGCCCUCUUCUUUGGGAUAACGCCCGGAAACGGGUGCUAAUACUGGAUAUUCACUGGCCUUCGCAUGGGGGUUGGUGGAAAGGUUUGUUCUGGUGGGGGA